UACGUAGGCAGCGAGCGUUGUCCGGAUUUAUUGGGCGUAAAGAGCUCGUAGGCGGCUUGUCGCGUCGUUCGUGAAAACCUGCAGCUCAACGUGCAGGCUUGCGGUCGAUACGGGCAGGCUAGAGUCGGUGAGGGGAGACUGGGAAUUCCGGUGUGAGGCGGUGAAAUGGACGCAGAUAGUCAGGAAGAACACCCGUGGCGAAGGCGGCUCUCUGGGACGGUACUGACGCUGAGACGCGAAAGCGUGGGGAGCGAACAG
rnacentral:rRNA from 1 species